CACGUAGGGCGCAAGCGUUGUCCGGAAUUAUUGGGCGUAAAGAGCUCGUAGGCGGUCUGUUGCGUCUGCUGUGAAAACCCGGGGCUUAACCCCUGGCUUGCAGUGGAUACGGACAGACUAGAGGUAGGUAGGGGAGAAUGGAAUUCCCGGUGUAGCGGUGAAAUGCGCAGAUAUCGGGAGGAACACCGGUGGCGAAGGCGGUUCUCUGGGGCCUUACCUGACGCUGAGGAGCGAAAGCGUGGGGAGCGAACAGG
rnacentral:rRNA from 1 species